UGGGGAAUAUUGCACAAUGGGCGCAAGCCUGAUGCAGCCAUGCCGCGUGUGUGAAGAAGGCCUUCGGGUUGUAAAGCACUUUCAGCGAGGAGGAAGGUGGUGAACUUAAUACGUUCAUCAAUUGACGUUACUCGCAGAAGAAGCACCGGCUAACUCCGUGCCAGCAGCCGCGGUAAUACGGAGGGUGCAAGCGUUAAUCGGAAUUACUGGGCGUAAAGCGCACGCAGGCGGUUUGUUAAGUCAGAUGUGAAAUCCCCGGGCUCAACCUGGGAACUGCAUUUGAAACUGGCAAGCUAGAGUCUCGUAGAGGGGGGUAGAAUUCCAGGUGUAGCGGUGAAAUGCGUAGAGAUCUGGAGGAAUACCGGUGGCGAAGGCGGCCCCCUGGACGAAGACUGACGCUCAGGUGCGAAAGCGUGGGGAGCAAACAGGAUUAGAU
rnacentral:rRNA from 1 species